rnacentral:rRNA from 1 species
GGGUUGUGAGGUUAAGCGACUAAGCGUACACGGUGGAUGCCCUGGCAGUCAGAGGCGAUGAAGGGCGUGCUAAUCUGCGAUAAGCGCCGGUAAGGUGAUAUGAACCGUUAUAACCGGCGAUACCCGAAUGGGGAAACCCAGUGUGAUUCGUCACACUAUCAUUAACUGAAUCCAUAGGUUAAUGAGGCGAACCGGGGGAACUGAAACAUCUAAGUACCCGAGGAAAGAAAUCAACCGAGAUUCCCCCAGUAGCGGCGAGCGAACGGGGAGGAGCCCAGAGCCUGAAUCAGCAUGUGUGUUAGUGGAAGCGUCUGGAAAGGCGCGCGAUACAGGGUGACAGCCCCGUACACAAAAGCGCAUGUGCUGUGAGCUCGAUGAGUAGGGCGGGACACGUGGUAUCCUGUCUGAAUAUGGGGGGACCAUCCUCCAAGGCUAAAUACUCCUGACUGACCGAUAGUGAACCAGUACCGUGAGGGAAAGGCGAAAAGAACCCCGGCGAGGGGAGUGAAAAAGAACCUGAAACCGUGUACGUACAAGCAGUGGGAGCACAGGUUUACCUGUGUGACUGCGUACCUUUUGUAUAAUGGGUCAGCGACUUAUAUUCUGUAGCAAGGUUAACCGUAUAGGGGAGCCGGAGGGAAACCGAGUCUUAACCGGGCGUUAAGUUGCAGGGUAUAGACCCGAAACCCGGUGAUCUAGCCAUGGGCAGGUUGAAGGUUGGGUAACACUAACUGGAGGACCGAACCGACUAAUGUUGAAAAAUUAGCGGAUGACCUGUGGCUGGGGGUGAAAGGCCAAUCAAACCGGGAGAUAGCUGGUUCUCCCCGAAAGCUAUUUAGGUAGCGCCUCGUGAAUUCAUCUCCGGGGGUAGAGCACUGUUUCGGCUAGGGGGCCAUCCCGGCUUACCAACCCGAUGCAAACUGCGAAUACCGGAGAAUGUUAUCACGGGAGACACACGGCGGGUGCUAACGUCCGUCGUGAAGAGGGAAACAACCCAGACCGCCAGCUAAGGUCCCAAAGUCAUGGUUAAGUGGGAAACGAUGUGGGAAGGCCCAGACAGCCAGGAUGUUGGCUUAGAAGCAGCCAUCAUUUAAAGAAAGCGUAAUAGCUCACUGGUCGAGUCGGCCUGCGCGGAAGAUGUAACGGGGCUAAACCAUGCACCGAAGCUGCGGCAGCGAACGUAUCACCCAAGACAACUUUACGGAGUUGACGAUUGACGGAGCGAAGCGACGUCAAAGCGUUCAUUAAAGUCGAGUUGGCUUAGGGAUACGUUCGUUGGGUAGGGGAGCGUUCUGUAAGCCUGUGAAGGUGGCCUGUGAGGGUUGCUGGAGGUAUCAGAAGUGCGAAUGCUGACAUAAGUAACGAUAAAGCGGGUGAAAAGCCCGCUCGCCGGAAGACCAAGGGUUCCUGUCCAACGUUAAUCGGGGCAGGGUGAGUCGACCCCUAAGGCGAGGCCGAAAGGCGUAGUCGAUGGGAAACGGGUUAAUAUUCCCGUACUUGGUGUUACUGCGAAGGGGGGACGGAGAAGGCUAUGUUGGCCGGGCGACGGUUGUCCCGGUUUAAGCGUGUAGGUGUGUGUUCCAGGUAAAUCCGGUUCACUUUAACACUGAGGCGUGACGACGAGGCACUACGGUGCUGAAGCAACAAAUGCCCUGCUUCCAGGAAAAGCCUCUAAGCAUCAGGUAACAUCAAAUCGUACCCCAAACCGACACAGGUGGUCAGGUAGAGAAUACCAAGGCGCUUGAGAGAACUCGGGUGAAGGAACUAGGCAAAAUGGUGCCGUAACUUCGGGAGAAGGCACGCUGACAUGUAGGUGAAGUGAUUUACUCAUGGAGCUGAAGUCAGUCGAAGAUACCAGCUGGCUGCAACUGUUUAUUAAAAACACAGCACUGUGCAAACACGAAAGUGGACGUAUACGGUGUGACGCCUGCCCGGUGCCGGAAGGUUAAUUGAUGGGGUCAGCGCAAGCGAAGCUCCUGAUCGAAGCCCCGGUAAACGGCGGCCGUAACUAUAACGGUCCUAAGGUAGCGAAAUUCCUUGUCGGGUAAGUUCCGACCUGCACGAAUGGCGUAAUGAUGGCCAGGCUGUCUCCACCCGAGACUCAGUGAAAUUGAACUCGCUGUGAAGAUGCAGUGUACCCGCGGCAAGACGGAAAGACCCCGUGAACCUUUACUAUAGCUUGACACUGAACAUUGAGCCUUGAUGUGUAGGAUAGGUGGGAGGCUUUGAAGUGUGGACGCCAGUCUGCAUGGAGCCGACCUUGAAAUACCACCCUUUAAUGUUUGAUGUUCUAACGUGGACCCGUAAUCCGGGUUGCGGACAGUGUCUGGUGGGUAGUUUGACUGGGGCGGUCUCCUCCUAAAGAGUAACGGAGGAGCACGAAGGUUGGCUAAUCCUGGUCGGACAUCAGGAGGUUAGUGCAAUGGCAUAAGCCAGCUUGACUGCGAGCGUGACGGCGCGAGCAGGUGCGAAAGCAGGUCAUAGUGAUCCGGUGGUUCUGAAUGGAAGGGCCAUCGCUCAACGGAUAAAAGGUACUCCGGGGAUAACAGGCUGAUACCGCCCAAGAGUUCAUAUCGACGGCGGUGUUUGGCACCUCGAUGUCGGCUCAUCACAUCCUGGGGCUGAAGUAGGUCCCAAGGGUAUGGCUGUUCGCCAUUUAAAGUGGUACGCGAGCUGGGUUUAGAACGUCGUGAGACAGUUCGGUCCCUAUCUGCCGUGGGCGCUGGAGAACUGAGGGGGGCUGCUCCUAGUACGAGAGGACCGGAGUGGACGCAUCACUGGUGUUCGGGUUGUCAUGCCAAUGGCACUGCCCGGUAGCUAAAUGCGGAAGAGAUAAGUGCUGAAAGCAUCUAAGCACGAAACUUGCCCCGAGAUGAGUUCUCCCUGAGACUUAGAGUCUCCUGAAGGAACGUUGAAGACGACGACGUUGAUAGGCCGGGUGUGUAAGCGCAGCGAUGCGUUGAGCUAACCGGUACUAAUGAACCGUGAGGCUUAACCUUACAACGCCGAAG